rnacentral:rRNA from 1 species
UACGUAGGGUGCAAGCGUUGUCCGGAAUUAUUGGGCGUAAAGAGCUCGUAGGCGGUCUGUCGCGUCUGCUGUGAAAACUCGGGGCUUAACCCCGGGCCUGCAGUGGGUACGGGCUGACUAGAGUGCGGUAGGGGAGACUGGAAUUCUCGGUGUAGCGGUGAAAUGCGUAGAUAUCGAGAGGAACACCGGUGGCGAAGGCGGCCUUCUGGACAGUGACUGACGCUGAGACGCGAAAGCGUAGGGAGCAAACAGG